rnacentral:rRNA from 1 species
UACGAAGGGGCUAGCGUUGCUCGGAAUCACUGGGCGUAAAGGGUGCGUAGGCGGGUCUUUAAGUCAGGGGUGAAAUCCUGGAGCUCAACUCCAGAACUGCCUUUGAUACUGAAGAUCUUGAGUCCGGGAGAGGUGAGUGGAACUGCGAGUGUAGAGGUGAAAUUCGUAGAUAUUCGCAAGAACACCAGUGGCGAAGGCGGCUCACUGGCCCGGUACUGACGCUGAGGCACGAAAGCGUGGGGAGCAACAGG